UACAGAGGGUGCGAGCGUUAAUCGGAAUUACUGGGCGUAAAGCGUGCGUAGACGGUAGCGUAAGUCAGAUGUGAAAUCCCCGGGCUUAACCUGGGAACUGCGUUUGAAACUACAAGGCUAGAGUGUGGCAGAGGGGGGUGGAAUUCCACGUGUAGCAGUGAAAUGCGUAGAGAUGUGGAGGAACACCGAUGGCGAAGGCAGCCUUCUGGGCCAACACUGACGCUCAUGCACGAAAGCGUGGGGAGCAAACAGG
rnacentral:rRNA from 1 species